UUUUGUGCUUGCACAAAAUGAUUAAGUGGCGAACGGGUGAGUAACACGUGAGUAACCUGCCCUUAACUUCGGGAUAAGCCUGGGAAACCGGGUCUAAUACCGGAUACGACGUAUCCCCGCAUGGGGGUUCGUGGAAAGCUUUAUGCGGUUUUGGAUGGACUCGCGGCCUAUCAGCUAGUUGGUUGGGGUAAUGGCCCACCAAGGCGACGACGGGUAGCCGGCCUGAGAGGGUGACCGGCCACACUGGGACUGAGACACGGCCCAGACUCCUACGGGAGGCAGCAGUGGGGAAUAUUGCACAAUGGGCGAAAGCCUGAUGCAGCGACGCCGCGUGAGGGACGAAGGCCUUCGGGUUGUAAACCUCUUUCAGCAGGGAAGAAGCGAAAGUGACGGUACCUGCAGAAGAAGCGCCGGCUAACUACGUGCCAGCAGCCGCGGUAAUACGUAGGGCGCAAGCGUUAUCCGGAAUUAUUGGGCGUAAAGAGCUCGUAGGCGGUUUGUCGCGUCUGCUGUGAAAGCCCGGGGCUCAACCCCGGGUCUGCAGUGGGUACCGGCAGACUAGAGUGCAAUAGGGGAGACUGGAAUUCCUGGUGUAGCGGUGAAAUGCGCAGAUAUCAGGAGGAACACCGA
rnacentral:rRNA from 1 species